rnacentral:rRNA from 1 species
AUUGAACGCUGGCGGCAGGCCUAACACAUGCAAGUCGAACGAGUGGCGGACGGGUGAGUAGUGUCUGGGAAACUGCCUGAUGGAGGGGGAUAACUACUGGAAACGGUAGCUAAUACCGCAUACCAUCGGAUGUGCCCGGAUGGGCUUAGCUAGUAGGUGGGGAAAAGGCUCACCUAGGCGACGAUCCCUAGCUGGUCUGACAGGAUGACCAGCCACAUUGGAACUGAGACACGGUCCAGACUCCUACGGGAGGCAGCAGUGGGGAAUAUUGCACAAUUGGCGAAAGCCUGAUGCAGCCAUGCCGCGUGUAUGAAGAAGGCCUUCGGGUUGUAAAGUACUGUCAGCGGGGAGGCGUUACCCGCAGAAGAAGCACCGGCUAACUCCGUGCCAGCAGCCGCGGUAAUUC